GAAGGGCUAGUUAAUUUAUAACGUAAACUUGUCGAGCUUAAGUUGCCUAGUAGUGGUGCUCUUUU
rnacentral:tRNA from 1 species